rnacentral:rRNA from 1 species
AUUGAACGCUGGCGGCAUGCCUAACACAUGCAAGUCGAACGGUAACAGGCCUUCGGGCGCUGACGAGUGGCGGACGGGUGAGUAAUGCAUAGGAAUUUGCCUUGAAGUGGGGGAUAGCCCGGAGAAAUCCGGAUUAAUACCGCAUAUGCUCUACGGAGCAAAGUGGGCCUCUGAUUUAAGCUCAUGCUUUGAGAUAAGCCUAUGUCGGAUUAGCUAGUUGGUAGGGUAAAGGCCUACCAAGGCGACGAUCCGUAGCUGGUUUGAGAGGAUGAUCAGCCACACUGGGACUGAGACACGGCCCAGACUCCUACGGGAGGCAGCAGUGGGGAAUAUUGGACAAUGGGCGCAAGCCUGAUCCAGCAAUGCCGCGUGUGUGAAGAAGGCCUGCGGGUU